AUGCAUCUAUUUGACAGACAUAAAGCAAUUACUGUCUGCUGCUAAGGUUUCUAUUACAGAUGCAAGAAAAGCAUCAUUGUGCCUUCUGUCUGUCCGACUGUGGAAGGCAAGAAUGAAGAAAGAGGACAAAG
rnacentral:snoRNA from 1 species